UCCCUGAAGCACCUUUGCUGCUGCAGUCCCCAUGGUUCAGCUGCAUCCCAGAAAUAUCCCCUCCUCCAGGAUUCCUGCUUGCUGCUGGCAGCAGGAUGCAGCUGGCAGAGCUGACAUGGCUGUGGGCUCUGCGGAGUCACGGGCCAGAUAUUUGAAUGAUCUCCUUCAAUGGCUUCCUCUGAAGAAGAUAAUCCCACCCCUUUGGAUCUUCCAGUUCAAUGGAACUGGGUUUUCCAGCAAGAAAAAUUCAAUGCCUCUGGCUGGCAACAGAGCUGUAAUUGUAAGGAAAAAAUAAGACUAUGGGAGAGGAAGAGGUCUGUGGCACAAAACAGAGCCCAAAUGUUUAAAAUUUGGCAGCAUCUGGAGUAACUAAUCCUGUAGGCAAUGUUACUACAGCAACAACAUCAGAAAUAUAACCUGUAUUCAAAUAAACUUGAAAAAACAAAUUUAGCUCACAUUUAUUCAUGCAAAGCUACAAGAAAUCUUCCCAGUUGUGUCCCUUUGAGCUUAGCCACAGACAGAUCUGUCUCCAAAGGAGAUGGGUGAGCACCAAGUCAGAUCAUGGUGACUGUGGUUGACCCGAGGUGAUUGCACACUCUGCAGUGGCAAAGUGCAAGAGCAGAGACAUUGAGGCACCUUUCUCAAACCAUUUGACGGGGGCCAAGCUCUGAGAUGCCUCUGUGUGUGUGAAUCGAAGCUUCUCUAUUCCACCUGGUCAUAAUAAGCAAACACAGUCAGUGAAAUUCCCAGCCACCUUGGCCAGCAGGGAUGGCAGCAGAGAGACUGUGUCUCCAGGCAUCGGAGGGGCUGUAAUGUGCUCAAGAGUCACUGCUUCAGAAUCACAAAAUUUGAAUGUGUGUGGGAUAAAGGUCAGCUGGUUUCACUAAGGAUGGGGAAUGACAGCCAUCUGGCCUAGGAGAACGUGGAGAGUAUUUGCUGGACUUCUCAUGUUACUAGUGACAAAACUUCUAAGAGUUUCUAAAAAUAAUAUGUGCUAAUUUCUUUACAUGCAGUGUCCUGCAUGCGGGAUGAGAUAGUUCAGUACCAACUCUGGACAUUUAUUAAGAGUUAAUAAAUUUAUUA